rnacentral:lncRNA from 1 species
CUACCCACAAAAAAAGAUAUGCAAAACAUACAAAAAUACUAAAUACAGUCAGAUUCAGAUUCAGACUCAUGUCCAUUUCAGAUACAGAUAACAGUUACAGAUAUGCAUAUCCGAUAUACAGAAUCCUACCCCCAUCCUUUACACACCAAUUUCGACUAUCCCAGCACACCAUGUAGGGUAAAAAAACACCCACCCAUCCUUACACACCAUAUCGUGCCAUUAAGACACAUACAAGAUAAAGUGGAGCCAAGCUGCCAGAAUAUAGGCGAAGGUCGCCUUAUAGAAC